UAAGCACGACUCCCGGCAAUGGAUAUCUCGGCUCUCGCAUCGAUGAAGAACGUAGCAAAAUGCGAUACUUGGUGUGAAUUGCAGAAUCCCGUGAACCAUCGAG
rnacentral:rRNA from 1 species